GCUUGUUUCAAGAGAAAAUGGAGGAGAAAGUAGAGGAGACAUGGAAAGCAACAUGCUUGGAUAUGCAGCUGGAGAAGUGCUUCCUGCCAGAGAUCUGCUGCCUGUAGAGGAGGCUGGAGAAGGACCGGUGUUGCUGUUUGUUCAAAUUAUGCCAUAAAAUUCUGAGCUUUGUCUUAUGAUCUUCCAACAUUUCUUACAUUAUUGGGCACUAAGCACCUUGCAGUAGCAGGACAUUUCAGACUUACUGCUGCUUUAUUGCUAUUACAAAUACUGUCAUGGCAACUAAUAGCACUUGUGCAGACAAGCAACCUUUUGUAGAGACUCAAGCAACAGGACCACUGGGUGGCCACCAGGUGAUUACCUUUGUCUCCUUUUAUUAUGAGUUAGGGAGAAGUACCUCUGUUAUCAAUGUCACUUACUGAACAUUCCUGUGCUUCCAGUUUCGCUGGUCUUGCAGCCAGCUCGUCAGCUGUGCAUGUCUGUCAACAAUCCUUGAGAUCAGGGACAACAAUCUUGGAGACAGUGGACCUCAGUUCCUCAUACCAGUCCCUGAGAUAAUGGAACCCAGGAUCUUAUCUCAGUUCUUCACACCCAUCUUCCAGAUAGUGGACCUCAGCUCCUCACACCAAUCUUUGAGAUAAUGGACAGUGGAGUCUGAUUUCAGCUCAGUCUCUCACAAUUCUUCUAAUUGUAUAUGAUUGAUAAGUACUUACUUUACCCUAAAAUCUGGUACAUAGACUUUAAAUAGUAUGUUGCACAGUUUGAGCUUGCAAUGAAUUGUAUUUUGAGAGUAUGUUCUUAGUACUGCAUAUAAGUAUCUUUUAAAAACCUAAGUCUUAGUUUGCAUACUCCACAGAAGAUAGGAGACUGUGCACAUGGUACCUCCCACUUUACAUGCUUCAUAUUUGUACUCUGGAGUCUAAAGAUUAUGUGGUUGGUCAUAGUUAAGUGGGGAGAGGGAAGGUUUGGAUGUGACAAGAGCAGAGCUCAGAGUAUCUGGCUUCAAAAUUGUUGCAGCUCUGUAUCUUAAAGGCAGGCCGUGGGUGUGUGCCAGUGGUGAGUAAGUAGGUAUUUUGAGUGGGACAGUGCUUUCCUAACUCACGUGUACCCGUUAGCACGCUUGGUCAACAUGGAAUAUAGUCUGUGAACAGCAUCUUUUCUCAUAAACCACAGAAAUAAAUAAAAUGUUUCUUUUAGGCAGAGAUGAUUCAGAUAUGCAAAACUGCAUUAUUUUUGCUUCGCCUAAAUUUAAUUAGAGCCUCUGUAUGAAGCUUUUAAUCUCACUGACUUUUUACACCGAAUUAAGUGUGACUACGUACAAUAGUCGCAAUCAUGAUUUUCUGUCCUGAAGAAGUGAUCACACUAUGCUUCAUAUAGCCUUUACCUGCUAGCAUGCUGGAUUUCUUAUGAUUAUUUUUAAUACAUUCCUUUACUAUAGUUGUGCAAUAAAAAUAAAUUUCUAGGUAUCUUGAAACUGACAUUUUUCUUCCUGGCAUAAGCCUUUUGAGAGGGAAUGAUGGAAGACUGAAAGUUGUCUUUGUUUUUUAUCAGAAGAUAAAAAUGAAGUGACUGAGCAUUUUACAGUUUAUAAACUCUAGCCCUUGGAUAAAGCAAGAAUAUUGCUGGCUAAAAGCAGAUUUUCUGCUUUGGCAGUUCUGUUUCCACUGAUACCAAAUUUCCUCUCAGCUCCUGCAGUAGUGUAUAAAAGCCUUUCAUGGAGGUAAAUUACUGUGUUUCUUCUGCAAAGGGACAGGAUUUCUUAAUGUGUUUUCAAGCCUUAUAAUCUCACCAGACACCAUAUGUUAAAAUAUAAUCUCCUGAUUUUAAAGUCACACUAUUGAAUUUGCAGAAAAAACAAGUCAUGAUUUGUGGUUUGAUAAGUUUGGCAGCAUUAGAGAGCUGGCUUUUGGUACAUUCCAAGUGGUAAAUUGUAGUAAAGACAAUAAUGUAGUGUCUAGUAUCUGUACCUGUAAUUUCCAAAGUUUAAUACCUGUAGUCUUUAUUAAGAUGUACAAUUACUUUUUUUUCAUUAAGUGCUUUACAAUGCCCAAAUUAUAAAAUUAAACUCGAGUUAUAAGCCUCUCAGAUUUACCAACAGUAAUGUUCCCUUUUCUCCCAGUGGCUUGUCAUUAGAUGUUCAGUUACUAUCGUAAGUUCCUUUUUCAAUCUGCUCUGUAGUUGUUUAUGUCCCAGUGAUGUUUUACUGUGAUUUAUAUUAGUUUGUGAGAUUUAAAUUUUAACAUUGUAAGAAAAUACUGGAUUGCAUUUACACUGAAUAAAGCAUGGAUCUGUAAGAAAGGAUGAUGGGACUCUGAGUCACCUUGUUGGCUUUCAGAUUCUGGAAUUAGCCAGCCACCUGGCUUUUUCUCAAAAAGAGACAGAAACAGUCACAUAGUUCUUGUACAAACAUAUUUUCACAAGAAAACCGUGCUGUAGGAAUCAUUUUGCAAGACCCAAACAUCUGGCUAAUCCAGGAUGAUCCCAGAAUGAUGUUUGCUCUGUCAUUACAAUACAGGAGAUAUUCUAUGGAAUAAACAUACAGGAUAAGUCAUAUGUCUUCUGUGUUUUUAAGCGAUUUGAGGAAGUGAAACAGUGUGCAGCAGGACAUUGUUUCCCUCCUAUAUGGAUUAGUAGCAACGCUGUAUUCAGUCUCCAGUGUUAACACCUUCUAAAAUCGGGCUGUUUAUCAGUCCAUUGCUUCCAUAGACUAAGCCAGAGAAUUUGAAACAACUUUGUUUGAAUUACAUAUUUUAGCUUGGAAUGGCAUAUCUUAGUUUCAAAGUCUCAGCUAACCAAUAAUUUAAUGUGUGUCUUACUUUUGCCCAUUUGCAUUAUUUAGCCUUCUUGUGUGGCAUCUGGCCCUUACAUUGGGCCAGAUGUAAUUGUCAUUACAUUACAAAUUCUUGACAUUUUAUACAGUAAAUUACUUUCUUGCUUAUAAAAAUUAUUCUUCUUUUCUCCUCACUUAGACUGUUGCUAGAACCAAAACAAACCUACUGACUUAAUCAAAGUCAGUAGAUUUAAUCCUGUGAAAGUGAGCUCAGAGGCACACCUACUACUCAUUGUCAGU